GGAUAGAGGCCUACCAUGGUGGUAACGGGUAACGGGGUGUUAGGGCACGACACCGGAGAGGGAGCCUGAGAAGCGGCUACCACAUCCAAGGAUGGCAGCAGGCGCGCAAAUUACCCAAUCCCGACACGGGGAGGUAGUGACAAUAAAUAACAAUACGGGGUUCUUUCGGAUCUCGUAAUUGGAAUGAGUACAAUUUAAAUCUCUUAACGAGGAACAAUUGGAGGGCAAGUCUGGUGCCAGCAGCCGCGGUAAUUCCAGCUCCAAUAGCGUAUAUUAAAGUUGUUGCAGUUAAAAAGCUCGUAGUUGAAUUUCGGGGUUAGUAGGUUGGUCAUGCCUCUGGUAUGUACUGGUCUCACUGAUUCCUCCUUCCUUAUGAACCGUAAUGCCAUUAAUUUGGUGUUGCGGGGAAUUUGGACUGUUACUUUGAAAAAAUUAGAGUGUUUAAAGCAAGCUAACGCUUGAAUACAUUAGCAUGGAAUAAUGAAAUAGGACGUUCGAUCUUAUUUUGUUGGUUUCUAGGAUUGACGUAAUGAUUAAUAGGGAUAGUUGGGGGCAUUAGUAUUCAAUUGUCAGAGGUGAAAUUCUUGGAUUUAUUGAAGACUAACUACUGCGAAAGCAUUUGCCAAGGAUGUUUUCAUUAAUCAAGAACGAAAGUUAGGGGAUCGAAGACGAUCAGAUACCGUCGUAGUCUUAACCAUAAACUAUGCCGACUAGGGAU
rnacentral:rRNA from 1 species